rnacentral:rRNA from 1 species
UGGGGAAUCUUGCGCAAUGGGCGAAAGCCUGACGCAGCAACGCCGCGUGCGGGAUGAAGGCCUUCGGGUUGUAAACCGCUUUUAUCAGGGACGAUUAUGACGGUACCUGAUGAAUAAGCCACGGCUAACUACGUG